rnacentral:misc_RNA from 1 species
AAGAGAUAGGGUUCUUGACGAGCCCGACCUCCAACCCUUUGUCUACCAAACCUCUGUUGCCUCGGCGGGUCGCCGGCGCCUCUCACCAGGCGCUGCCGUCGGCCUUUUGUGCUUUCGAGUGCCCGCCGAAGGACUAUUAGAACCAUUAUUGAACGAGUAUCUUCUGAGUGGAAUUUAAUGCUUCAAUUA